AACAAUUAAGGCAACAAAUAAAUCACAAUAUAACAUUAAAAUUCAAUUGCAUAACAUAGUAAUUUAGUUUUUUGUUUCUCUCUCCUUUUUUGUUGCCACUUGGGUCCUGUAAAGAGCCAAAAUGUUACAAAAGUGUUAGUGUUAAAUAAUCCUAUCCAAGCGUCAUUAUCAUAAAAUAUUUGCCAAUGAUCCUUAACACUUUCAAAAAUCGCUGCCAAGUGUUCAGAUGCAAAUACUUGUAAAACUGGAAAAACAAAUUCAUGGCAUAAAACUCAAAAUUAACGACAAAAAUAAUGCUGGAGAAAAUAUAAGUAUUAUCAAAAUUGAACUGGACUUGACAAAAUUUAAAAUCAUAACCUUUCUAUGGUUGGCAAUGGAUCAUUCUAUAUAGCAAAAAUUACCUGUUAAGAAGCGUCGGACAAAAUAUCUACCUACUCCAUGAAAUUUAACAUCCAAAGACCAUGACUUGCAUGAUUACAAAAUUAUAUAUAAAAAAAAUCUUAAUAGUUUUAUAAAACUUCCAAAAUGAUCGUGAGGAAACACCUUUUUUAACUUGUUGUGACCGUAUAAAAAAAUCGCACCCAGACAGGCGAACUGAAUUGGACAAAGUCCGACCCUAAAUACACAAAUGACCAAAAAGGCUAUUUUUGAUUAAAAAAAUGAACUGGACAACGCCCAACGCUACAUCUGUAAUUAUGACUUUACCAAAAGGACUAAAAACCAACUCAAAAAGAAGAAAAAUGAAAAAGCCUAAAAAAGAGGACACACUUGACUCUUCCUCUCAGUUCUCCACACCUCGUCACCUACCUUCACUACCCUUAUCACUUCACUGUGUCCCCACUUCUCCCUGUGGCCACAAGCCCACAACUCUCUCUCUACCUCCUCAGGUUGCCCCUCCUCUUCGUCUCCACUACCGACGCGAGGUCUCGCACCCCCUCUCCCCACUCUUCUCAGCACUUCCUCGUCGAAUCGGUCUCUGAAGUGCCCGAGUAUCCGCUUGAGCUCGGCAUGCUCGCUAGCCGACCCAGUGCUAGGCGUGGACGAAGGCCGACGCGGAGGCACGGGACUCGUCUCCACCAGAUCAGCGGCCAUGGCAAUCGUGCAUCCGAAGCUCCGCGGCCCGGCACCAUGCCUUCCUCUCUGUCUCGCUCGCCCGACGCUUGGAGCGUCUGCUCGUCGUCGGCUCUCACCACCCUGUGCGUGCGGCUGUGCUGUGCCCGGCCCUGCCCAGGUGCGGAAAUAGUGCCGUGGUGGCUGGUCCCCUGCAACUGCAAGCCGACGCCAAUUAAUGAUCUAUUCCCCACUCCAGCUUUCAUAUCUGCUUAGUUCUGAUUUGAGGUACUCCCCAUUCCCCGCUUUUGCUAAUUCCUUUUUUUGGCGAAACACUUUUGCUAAUUCCUAGUUGCUAUUCAUCACUGUGUAGUACAUACGUAGCUCAGUAUCUUAGGUUUAAGCAUGAGAUUCGUUUUAGAAUCGGCGAGAAAAAAAUAGAAGUCGGAGUAAGUUGUUCGAUUAGACGUUCUUAACUUUGUUGCAACAGCUGUUAUGAGUGGAGAUUCUAGUCGGUUAAUAUUCUUGAGGCAACCAUGCUGUCAUAAAGUUGAUUGAUUAGUGGAUAUGAAUUCUGGGUGGCUAGGGGCACUGUGAGGAGCUAGGGACCAAGACAGACGAGGUUGAUUUGGCUUGAUCCUGCCAAAGAAAUUUACUUCUUCUGAAAAGACGGAAGCAUGUUUUCAGAAAGUUCAUGGUUAACUUUCCAAAUCCGAGAUUUAUAGCAAAGCAAAGAGACAGGUUGAAGAAUGAAUAAUUGAUAUAGCACAACCUUCUAGAUGAAGUGCUUUUGCAGGCUUACAAUGAAUGGAUAUUGAAGACCAUGGAAGAGUCCUCGAAUUUGUUGCAUCAUAAAUUGUUGGAACUCUGGAAUAAACAGAAAGAUGUGAAUGGGGAGGCAUACCUGCCUGCGAUAUACACCAACCCAAAGCUUUUGAGCGUUGUACAAAAGAAGUACUUGACAGGUUUACUUCAUGAUAGUCUCGGAUUUUGUUCGGUCAGAAUCAUCAGGAAGGCUUUUAGGUGAGGUCAAUUAUAUACUGAAGAGCAUGCACCUGUGUUGGCGACGAGCUCGUCAGCGCAGCCGUGGACGGGCGCCUCGGCGGUUGCACAUGUGAGGGCGAAGAGCUCGUCGUUGUGGCCGUCGUCAGGUGACUCGGCGGAUGCACUUGUGCUAGCGAAGAACACGUCGUCGCGGUCAUCGUCCGAUGCCUCGGCGUCUGUGCAGGGCAGCGAGCAAUGAUGGCGCACGUCAAGCCGGAUGCCUGGAUUGAUUCCCCCCUAAUUUAGCAGAUUUCUUUUUGUAUAGUCGAGCAAGUCCAUGCGAAUUGGACGUGCUGUUUCCUUGUGCGGGCAUGGGAUCCGUAAUAAAGUGGCAUAUUGUGCGGCGGCUUCUUUGCGUGAGGUAGAUGGUGGGAGAAGUAGGACGUGGGCGUCUGCCCUAGAAGAACAUUUAAUCCUGAGCGUUGAUUGGUGUGGUAGACCUUUGAUGUAAUAUAGAACAUUGGAUGUGAUUUAGUGGGAUUGAUCAAAUGUCUCUGGUA